GCGGGAGUAGCUCAGUUGGUAGAGCACAACCUUGCCAAGGUUGGGGUCGCGGGUCCGAAUCCCGUCUCCCGCU
rnacentral:tRNA from 1 species